UUCCUGGCAGUCCAGUAGUUAGGACUCCACACUUCCAAUGCAGGGGGCACAGGUUCAAUCCCUGGUCAGGGAA
rfam:TPA: Bos taurus chromosome 4, whole genome shotgun sequence.